rnacentral:rRNA from 1 species
UGCCAGCCGCCGCGGUAAUACUGAAGGUGCAAGCGUUAAUCGGAAUCACUGGGCGUAAAGCGCUCGUAGGUGGCUUUGUAAGUCAGAUGUGAAAACCCACGGCUCAACCGUGGAAUUGCAUUUGAUACUGCAUCGCUAGAGUAUAGGAGAGGGAAGUGGAAUUUCUGGUGUUGGAGUGAAAUUCAUAGAUAUUAGGAGGAACACCAGUGGCGAAGGCGACUUACUGGACUGAUACUGACGCUGAGGUACGAAAGCGUGGGGAGCAAACAGGAUUAGAUA